GGGAGCUUGCUCCCUGAUGUUAGCGGCGGACGGGUGAGUAACACGUGGGUAACCUGCCUGUAAGACUGGGAUAACUCCGGGAAACCGGGGCUAAUACCGGAUGCUUGUUUGAACCGCAUGGUUCAGACAUAAAAGGUGGCUUCGGCUACCACUUACAGAUGGACCCGCGGCGCAUUAGCUAGUUGGUGAGGUAACGGCUCACCAAGGCGACGAUGCGUAGCCGACCUGAGAGGGUGAUCGGCCACACUGGGACUGAGACACGGCCCAGACUCCUACGGGAGGCAGCAGUAGGGAAUCUUCCGCAAUGGACGAAAGUCUGACGGAGCAACGCCGCGUGAGUGAUGAAGGUUUUCGGAUCGUAAAGCUCUGUUGUUAGGGAAGAACAAGUGCCGUUCRAAUAGGGCGGCACCUUGACGGUACCUAACCAGAAAGCCACGGCUAACUACGUGCCAGCAGCCGCGGUAAUACGUAGGUGGCAAGCGUUGUCCGGAAUUAUUGGGCGUAAAGGGCUCGCAGGCGGUUUCUUAAGUCUGAUGUGAAAGCCCCCGGCUCAACCGGGGAGGGUCAUUGGAAACUGGGGAACUUGAGUGCAGAAGAGGAGAGUGGAAUUCCACGUGUAGCGGUGAAAUGCGUAGAGAUGUGGAGGAACACCAGUGGCGAAGGCGACUCUCUGGUCUGUAACUGACGCUGAGGAGCGAAAGCGUGGGGAGCGAACAGGAUUAGAUACCCUGGUAGUCCACGCCGUAAACGAUGAGUGCUAAGUG
rnacentral:rRNA from 1 species